rnacentral:rRNA from 1 species
UACGUAGGGGGCAAGCGUUGUUCGGAAUUACUGGGCGUAAAGGGCGCGUAGGCGGCACGGCAAGUCGGGAGUGAAAGCCCGGGGCUCAACCCCGGAACGGCUCUCGAAACUGCCGAGCUAGAGUGCGGAAGGGGCAACUGGAAUUCCCAGUGUAGCGGUGAAAUGCGUAGAUAUUGGGAAGAACACCUGAGGCGAAGGCGGGUUGCUGGGCCGACACUGACGCUGAGGCGCGAAAGCCAGGGGAGCAAACGGG